rnacentral:tRNA from 1 species
UUGGAGGUGGUGUAAAUGGAAACACACCAGGCUCAUGACCUGACGAUGUAGGUUCGAGUCCUACCCUCCCCA